rnacentral:rRNA from 1 species
CAUGCAGUCGAACGAUGAUUUUCCAGCUUGCUGGAAAUGAUUAGUGGCGGACGGGUGCGUAACGCGUGGGAAUCUACCUUUUAGUGGGGGAUAGCCCGGAGAAAUCCGGAUUAAUACCGCAUAAUCUCCACGGAGCAAAGUGGGGGAUCUUCGGACCUCACGCUAUUAGAUGAGCCCGCGUUAGAUUAGCUUGUUGGUGAGGUAAUGGCUCACCAAGGCAACGAUCUAUAGCUGGUUUGAGAGGAUGAUCAGCCACACUGGGACUGAGACACGGCCCAGACUCCUACGGGAGGCAGCAGUGGGGAAUAUUGGACAAUGGGCGCAAGCCCUGGAUCCCAGCAAUACCGCGUGUGUGAAGAAGGCCUGAGGGUUGUAAAGCACUU